UGCAAGUCGUACGCUUCUUUUUCACCGGAGCUUGCUCCACCGGAAAAAGAAGAGUGGCGAACGGGUGAGUAACACGUGGGUAACCUGCCCAUCAGAAGGGGAUAACACUUGGAAACAGGUGCUAAUACCGUAUAACAAUCGAAACCGCAUGGUUUUGAUUUGAAAGGCGCUUUCGGGUGUCGCUGAUGGAUGGACCCGCGGUGCAUUAGCUAGUUGGUGAGGUAACGGCUCACCAAGGCCACGAUGCAUAGCCGACCUGAGAGGGUGAUCGGCCACAUUGGGACUGAGACACGGCCCAAACUCCUACGGGAGGCAGCAGUAGGGAAUCUUCGGCAAUGGACGAAAGUCUGACCGAGCAACGCCGCGUGAGUGAAGAAGGUUUUCGGAUCGUAAAACUCUGUUGUUAGAGAAGAACAAGGAUGAGAGUAACUGUUCAUCCCUUGACGGUAUCUAACCAGAAAGCCACGGCUAACUACGUGCCAGCAGCCGCGGUAAUACGUAGGUGGCAAGCGUUGUCCGGAUUUAUUGGGCGUAAAGCGAGCGCAGGCGGUUUCUUAAGUCUGAUGUGAAAGCCCCCGGCUCAACCGGGGAGGGUCAUUGGAAACUGGGAGACUUGAGUGCAGAAGAGGAGAGUGGAAUUCCAUGUGUAGCGGUGAAAUGCGUAGAUAUAUGGAGGAACACCAGUGGCGAAGGCGGCUCUCUGGUCUGUAACUGACGCUGAGGCUCGAAAGCGUGGGGAGCAAACAGGAUUAGAUACCCUGGUAGUCCACGCCGUAAACGAUGAGUGCUAAGUGUUGGAGGGUUUCCGCCCUUCAGUGCUGCAGCUAACGCAUUAAGCACUCCGCCUGGGGAGUACGACCGCAAGGUUGAAACUCAAAGGAAUUGACGGGGGCCCGCACAAGCGGUGGAGCAUGUGGUUUAAUUCGAAGCAACGCGAAGAACCUUACCAGGUCUUGACAUCCUUUGACCACUCUAGAGAUAGAGCUUCCCCUUCGGGGGCAAAGUGACAGGUGGUGCAUGGUUGUCGUCAGCUCGUGUCGUGAGAUGUUGGGUUAAGUCCCGCAACGAGCGCAACCCUUAUUGUUAGUUGCCAUCAUUUAGUUGGGCACUCUAGCAAGACUGCCGGUGACAAACCGGAGGAAGGUGGGGAUGACGUCAAAUCAUCAUGCCCCUUAUGACCUGGGCUACACACGUGCUACAAUGGGAAGUACAACGAGUCGCGAAGUCGCGAGGCUAAGCUAAUCUCUUAAAGCUUCUCUCAGUUCGGAUUGUAGGCUGCAACUCGCCUACAUGAAGCCGGAAUCGCUAGUAAUCGCGGAUCAGCACGCCGCGGUGAAUACGUUCCCGGGCCUUGUACACACCGCCCGUCACACCACGAGAGUUUGUAACACCCGAAGUCGGUGAGGUAACCUUUUGGAGCCAGCCGCC
rnacentral:rRNA from 1 species